rnacentral:lncRNA from 1 species
UGGGCUGGCACCGGGCUGUACAGGCUGGGCUGAAGUUCCGCUUGGGCUGCAGGUUGGCCGAGAUGGCCUAGGCGGGCAGAUUAGGCUGGGUCUCGGCCCGGCAGGAGGUAAGGCUUCCCUUUUUUUUCUUUUUUUUUCUCCUUUUUUUCUUAGGCAGAUCGUGAGGGAGGGCUCUCGGUCAGGAUGGAGCUGGGCUAGGUCGUCCAGAUGGGCUAGAUAGGGAAUUGAGAGGCCUAGUAGGGAAAAAAAGAAAGUGUGCUGGUCUGCUGGGCCUACGUGUCAGAGAGGUGAGAAUUGGGCUGAGUUUUUUUUUUGGCACAACGGUCCAGAGAAAAAAAAAAGCUUUUCUUUUUAAGUACAGGCUGAAACUAAACAAAAUUCAAAUUUAGAAUGGAAGACAAAUUUGCAGAUGGAACAAGUAACAUGUAAUAUUCAAGGUAUUGAAAGUUGUACAACACUUAUUUCACACAAGGGCUCAUCAUGCAACAUGUUAAAUGGAGUUUAACGUAAGUACCCUCUUUUGGCCAAACUAGCAAGAAAAAUCAUCAUAUUGUCUCCAAAUUUCGUGCAUUCGUUCUUUGAUAUGAUGAGGUGAGACUUGGAGAAAAUUUCGCUAAUUCCAUGCGGAAAACAUAUUUCCCCAUUUUUCAGAUGGCCGGGAGAGCGAUUUCUCUGUGAAGCAACAUGCCCAGGCUGCACUCAUUUUGCAUCCAUAUGUUAUCAUACAUGUGUUCCACCAGAUUUAAUGGGUCUUUGAGGAAUUCCAAGGAUUUUCACGGUGUUUAUCUAUUUUCUAGCAUUUAGUUGCAUUUCACGACAUUUAAUGGCCAGAAAAAGAAAUUAUAGCAUAGCAACAUAAAAUUUCACUCAAAUAUUUAUUGGGG